rnacentral:rRNA from 1 species
UGGGGAAUUUUGGACAAUGGGCGAAAGCCUGAUCCAGCAAUGCCGCGUGAGUGAAGAAGGCCUUCGGGUUGUAAAGCUCUUUCAGUCGAGAAGAAAAGAUUAUGACUAAUAAUCAUAAUUUAUGACGGUAUCGACAGAAGAAGCACCGGCUAACUACGUGCCAGCAGCCGCGGUAAUACGUAGGGUGCAAGCGUUAAUCGGAAUUACUGGGCGUAAAGCGUGCGCAGGCGGCGACAUAAGACAGAUGUGAAAUCCCCGGGCUCAACCUGGGAACUGCGUUUGUGACUGUGUUGCUAGAGUGUAGCAGAGGGGGGUGGAAUUCCACGUGUAGCAGUGAAAUGCGUAGAUAUCAAGAGGAACACCUGAGGUGAAGACGGGUUGCUGGGCUGUAACUGACGCUGAGGCGCGAAAGCAUGGGGAGCAAACAGGAUUAGAUACCCCAGUAGUCCCUGAGCGGGCUGGCAAGGCGCAU